GCCGCUCCCGUUCAGCGGGGGUGAGGGAGGGCUUGAGCUCCUCCCAGCAGGCUUUGGCCGCAGCAAAGGAGUGGUU
rnacentral:tRNA from 1 species